rnacentral:rRNA from 1 species
AACACGUGUGCAACCUGCCUUUAUCAGGGGGAUAGCCUUUCGAAAGGAAGAUUAAUACCCCAUAAUAUUUAGAAUGGCAUCAUUUUAAAUUGAAAACUCCGGUGGAUAGAGAUGGGCACGCGCAAGAUUAGAUAGUUGGUGAGGUAACGGCUCACCAAGUCUGCGAUCUUUAGGGGGCCUGAGAGGGUGAUCCCCCACACUGGUACUGAGACACGGACCAGACUCCUACGGGAGGCAGCAGUGAGGAAUAUUGGACAAUGGGUGGGAGCCUGAUCCAGCCAUCCCGCGUGAAGGACGACGGCCCUAUGGGUUGUAAACUUCUUUUGUAUAGGGAUAAACCUACCCUCGUGAGGGUAGCUGAAGGUACUAUACGAAUAAGCACCGGCUAACUCCGUGCCAGCAGCCGCGGUAAUACGGAGGGUGCAAGCGUUAUCCGGAUUUAUUGGGUUUAAAGGGUCCGUAGGCGGAUCUGUAAGUCAGUGGUGAAAUCUCACAGCUUAACUGUGAAACUGCCAUUGAUACUGCAGGUCUUGAGUGUUGUUGAAGUAGCUGGAAUAAGUAGUGUAGCGGUGAAAUGCAUAGAUAUUACUUAGAACACCAAUUGCGAAG